GGGCGCUUAGCUCAGUUGGUAGAGCAGCUGACUCUUAAUCAGCGGGUCAUAGGUUCGAGCCCUAUAGCGCCCACCA
rnacentral:tRNA from 2 species